rnacentral:rRNA from 1 species
CUACCCGCUGAACUUAAGCAUAUCAAUAAGCGGGA